rnacentral:rRNA from 1 species
AUGGAACCAUCCUCGCAGCCUGAGCCUGUGGUGGGUGUGGCCACUGCUGGGUCACAAGCAUAUCCUCCUCCUGCUGCCUAUCCAGCUCCAGCCAUGCCUGCCGCCAUUCCUCCUGGCUCGCAGCCUGCAGUGCCAUUCCCUGCUAAUCCAGCUCAACUCAGUGCUCAGCACCAACUGGUUUACCAACAGGCCCAGCAAUUUCACCAACAACUGCAGCAACAGCAGCAGCAGCAACUUCGUGAGUUCUGGGCUACUCAAAUGGAAGAGAUUGAGCAGGCAACUGACUUCAAGAACCACACCUUACCACUGGCAAGGAUAAAAAAGAUAAUGAAGGCUGACGAGGAUGUCCGGAUGAUCUCCGCAGAAGCUCCUGUUGUCUUUGCAAAGGCAUGCGAGGUGUUUAUCUUAGAGUUGACACUCAGGUCAUGGAUGCACACUGAGGAGAACAAGCGCCGGACCUUGCAGAAGAAUGACAUUGCAGCUGCCAUUACCAGGACUGACAUCUACGACUUCUUGGUGGACAUCAUUCCCAGGGAUGACAUGAAGGAGGAAGGCCUUGGGCUUCCGAGGGUGGGCUUGCCACCUGCUGCUCUAGGGGCACCGGCUGAUGCAUAUCCUCCUUAUUACUAUGUGCAAGCACAACAGGUACCGGGAGUAGGAAUGAUGUAUGGUGGCCAGCAGGGUCACCCAGUGGCAUAUGCGUGGCAGCAGCCUCAAGGGCAACAGGCCGAGGAGGCCCCUGAAGAGCAGCAGCAGUCUCCCUCAAACUAG